rnacentral:rRNA from 1 species
AUUGAACGCUGGCGGCAGGCCUAACACAUGCAAGUCGAGCGAGCGGCGGACGGGUGAGUAAUGUAUGGGGACUGCCCGAUAGAGGGGGAUAACUACUGGAAACGGUAGCUAAUAACGCAUACUAUCGGAUAAACGAUAUGGGAUUAGCUAGUAGGUGAGGUAAGGGCUCACCCAGGCGACGAUCCCUAGCUGGGCUGAGAGGAUGAUCAGCCAAACGGGGACUGAGACAGGGCCCAGACUCCUACGGAGGCAGCAGUGGGGAAUAUUGCACAAUGGGCGCAAGCCUGAUGCAGCCAUGCCGCGUGUGUGAAGAAGGCCCUAGGGUUGUAAGGUACUUUCAGUCGGGAGGCGUUACCGACAGAAGAAGCACCGGCUAACUCCGUGCCAGCCGCCGCGGUAAUAC